rnacentral:rRNA from 1 species
GUGCCAGCAGCCGCGGUAAUACGGAGGGUGCAAGCGUUAUCCGGAAUCACUGGGUUUAAAGGGUGCGUAGGCGGCUAGGUAAGUCAGGGGUGAAAGGUCACGGCUCAACUGUGGAAUUGCCUUUGAUACUGCCAAGCUUGAAUCAGGAUGAGGUCGGCGGAAUGUGGCAUGUAGCGGUGAAAUGCAUAGAUAUGCCAUAGAACACCAAUUGCGAAGGCAGCUGGCUAGACCUUGAUUGACGCUGAGGCACGAAAGCGUGGGGAGCGAACAGGAUUAGAAACCCUAGUAGUCC